rnacentral:tRNA from 1 species
GGUUCAAUGGUCUAGUGGUUAUGAUUUCUGUCUUACACACAGAAGGUCUCCAGUUCGAUCCUGGGUUGAACCA